rnacentral:rRNA from 1 species
AGAGUUUGAUCCUGGCUCAGAUUGAACGCUGGCGGCAUGCCUUACACAUGCAAGUCGAACGGCAGCAUGAUCUAGCUUGCUAGAUUGAUGGCGAGUGGCGAACGGGUGAGUAAUACAUCGGAACGUGCCCUGUAGUGGGGGAUAACUAGUCGAAAGAUUAGCUAAUACCGCAUACGACCUGAGGGUGAAAGUGGGGGACCGCAAGGCCUCAUGCUAUAGGAGCGGCCGAUGUCUGAUUAGCUAGUUGGUGAGGUAAAGGCUCACCAAGGCGACGAUCAGUAGCUGGUCUGAGAGGACGAUCAGCCACACUGGGACUGAGACACGGCCCAGACUCCUACGGGAGGCAGCAGUGGGGAAUUUUGGACAAUGGGCGAAAGCCUGAUCCAGCAAUGGCCGCGUGUGUGAAGAAGGCCUUCGGGUUGUAAAGCACUUUUGUCCGGAAAGAAAUGGCUCUGGUUAAUACCUGGGGUCGAUGACGGUACCGGAAGAAUAAGGACCGGCUAACUACGUGCCAGCAGCCGCGGUAAUACGUAGGGUCCAAGCGUUAAUCGGAAUUACUGGGCGUAAAGCGUGCGCAGGCGGUUGUGCAAGACCGAUGUGAAAUCCCCGAGCUUAACUUGGGAAUUGCAUUGGUGACUGCACGGCUAGAGUGUGUCAGAGGGGGGUAGAAUUCCACGUGUAGCAGUGAAAUGCGUAGAGAUGUGGAGGAAUACCGAUGGCGAAGGCAGCCCCCUGGGAUAACACUGACGCUCAUGCACGAAAGCGUGAGGAGCAAACAGGAUUAGAUACCCUGGUAGUCCACGCCCUAAACGAUGUCAACUAGUUGUUGGGGAUUCAUUUCCUUAGUAACGUAGCUAACGCGUGAAGUUGACCGCCUGGGGAGUACGGUCGCAAGAUUAAAACUCAAAUG